GGGUUGUGAGGUUAAGCGACUAAGCGUACACGGUGGAUGCCCUGGCAGUCAGAGGCGAUGAAGGGCGUGCUAAUCUGCGAUAAGCGCCGGUAAGGUGAUAUGAACCGUUAUAACCGGCGAUACCCGAAUGGGGAAACCCAGUGUGACUCGUCACACUAUCAUUAACUGAAUCCAUAGGUUAAUGAGGCGAACCGGGGGAACUGAAACAUCUAAGUACCCCGAGGAAAAGAAAUCAACCGAGAUUCCCCCAGUAGCGGCGAGCGAACGGGGAGGAGCCCAGAGCCUGAAUCAGCAUGUGUGUUAGUGGAAGCGUCUGGAAAGGCGCGCGAUACAGGGUGACAGCCCCGUACACAAAAGCGCAUGUGCUGUGAGCUCGAUGAGUAGGGCGGGACACGUGGUAUCCUGUCUGAAUAUGGGGGGACCAUCCUCCAAGGCUAAAUACUCCUGACUGACCGAUAGUGAACCAGUACCGUGAGGGAAAGGCGAAAAGAACCCCGGCGAGGGGAGUGAAAAAGAACCUGAAACCGUGUACGUACAAGCAGUGGGAGCNNGUGACUGCGUACCUUUUGUAUAAUGGGUCAGCGACUUAUAUUCUGUAGCAAGGUUAACCGAAUAGGGGAGCCGGAGGGAAACCGAGUCUUAAUUGGGCGUUAAGUUGCAGGGUAUAGACCCGAAACCCGGUGAUCUAGCCAUGGGCAGGUUGAAGGUUGGGUAACACUAACUGGAGGACCGAACCGACUAAUGUUGAAAAAUUAGCGGAUGACCUGUGGCUGGGGGUGAAAGGCCAAUCAAACCGGGAGAUAGCUGGUUCUCCCCGAAAGCUAUUUAGGUAGCGCCUCGUGAAUUCAUCUCCGGGGGUAGAGCACUGUUUCGGCUAGGGGGCCAUCCCGGCUUACCAACCCGAUGCAAACUGCGAAUACCGGAGAAUGUUAUCACGGGAGACACACGGCGGGUGCUAACGUCCGUCGUGAAGAGGGAAACAACCCAGACCGCCAGCUAAGGUCCCAAAGUCAUGGUUAAGUGGGAAACGAUGUGGGAAGGCCCAGACAGCCAGGAUGUUGGCUUAGAAGCAGCCAUCAUUUAAAGAAAGCGUAAUAGCUCACUGGUCGAGUCGGCCUGCGCGGAAGAUGUAACGGGGCUAAACCAUGCACCGAAGCUGCGGCAGCGANNGUUGGGUAGGGGAGCGUUCUGUAAGCCUGUGAAGGUGUGUCGUGAGGCAUGCUGGAGGUAUCAGAAGUGCGAAUGCUGACAUAAGUAACGAUAAAGCGGGUGAAAAGCCCGCUCGCCGGAAGACCAAGGGUUCCUGUCCAACGUUAAUCGGGGCAGGGUGAGUCGACCCCUAAGGCGAGGCCGAAAGGCGUAGUCGAUGGGAAACGGGUUAAUAUUCCCGUACUUGGUGUUACUGCGAAGGGGGGACGGAGAAGGCUAUGUUGGCCGGGCGACGGUUGUCCCGGUUUAAGCGUGUAGGUGUGUGUUCCAGGUAAAUCCGGUUCACUUUAACACUGAGGCGUGAUGACGAGGCACUACGGUGCUGAAGCAACAAAUGCCCUGCUUCCAGGAAAAGCCUCUAAGCAUCAGGUAACAUCAAAUCGUACCCCAAACCGACACAGGUGGUCAGGUAGAGAAUACCAAGGCGCUUGAGAGAACUCGGGUGAAGGAACUAGGCAAAAUGGUGCCGUAACUUCGGGAGAAGGCACGCUGACAUGUAGGUGAAGUGAUUUACUCAUGGAGCUGAAGUCAGUCGAAGAUACCAGCUGGCUGCAACUGUUUAUUAAAAACACAGCACUGUGCAAACACGAAAGUGGACGUAUACGGUGUGACGCCUGCCCGGUGCCGGAAGGUUAAUUGAUGGGGUCAGCGCAAGCGAAGCUCCUGAUCGAAGCCCCGGUAAACGGCGGCCGUAACUAUAACGGUCCUAAGGUAGCGAAAUUCCUUGUCGGGUAAGUUCCGACCUGCACGAAUGGCGUAAUGAUGGCCAGGCUGUCUCCACCCGAGACUCAGUGAAAUUGAACUCGCUGUGAAGAUGCAGUGUACCCGCGGCAAGACGGAAAGACCCCGUGAACCUUUACUAUAGCUUGACACUGAACAUUGAGCCUUGAUGUGUAGGAUAGGUGGGAGGCUUUGAAGCGUGGACGCCAGUCUGCGUGGAGCCGACCUUGAAAUACCACCCUUUAAUGUUUGAUGUUCUAACGUGGACCCGUAAUCCGGGUUGCGGACAGUGUCUGGUGGGUAGUUUGACUGGGGCGGUCUCCUCCUAAAGAGUAACGGAGGAGCACGAAGGUUGGCUAAUCCUGGUCGGACAUCAGGAGGUUAGUGCAAUGGCAUAAGCCAGCUUGACUGCGAGCGUGACGGCGCGAGCAGGUGCGAAAGCAGGUCAUAGUGAUCCGGUGGUUCUGAAUGGAAGGGCCAUCGCUCAACGGAUAAAAGGUACUCCGGGGAUAACAGGCUGAUACCGCCCAAGAGUUCAUAUCGACGGCGGUGUUUGGCACCUCGAUGUCGGCUCAUCACAUCCUGGGGCUGAAGUAGGUCCCAAGGGUAUGGCUGUUCGCCAUUUAAAGUGGUACGCGAGCUGGGUUUAGAACGUCGUGAGACAGUUCGGUCCCUAUCUGCCGUGGGCGCUGGAGAACUGAGGGGGGCUGCUCCUAGUACGAGAGGACCGGAGUGGACGCAUCACUGGUGUUCGGGUUGUCAUGCCAAUGGCACUGCCCGGUAGCUAAAUGCGGAAGAGAUAAGUGCUGAAAGCAUCUAAGCACGAAACUUGCCCCGAGAUGAGUUCUCCCUGAGACUU
rnacentral:rRNA from 1 species